GCUCCCUGGCAAUGGACAAAGAGAUACCUUGUUGGUGGGGUGUUCUUAUGUCAGUCAGGGGCAGAGCAGUUGGCUGUCCUUUGUUCAUCCUAGCUUGAUGCCUGGCUUGGUGGUUGAAGCUACUUUAUGUUUACGACACAUAA